rnacentral:lncRNA from 1 species
AUUGACACAAUUAAUUAUGACAUGAUGAUAUCCUGGUAACUUUUUUUCUUUCAAACAUAUGCAGGUUUUAGCUUUCAUCUAUAAGGAAAGCAAAAUAUUAGAAAGCCUUCCUUCGGACCACUUAAAAAGUGCUCGUCGUACUUACAGAAGUUUCUCAAUUGAGUCCAAUAAGACGUCAAAUUAGAAUCAGCUUUUGAUCGCUUGAGUAGGUACAAUGUUAAGUUGGUUGAUAGAUUCCAUGUUGGGAUUUUUUGUGUUGAACCUUGUAAAUUACUUGUAUUGCUAACACCACAUUGCUCGAGUUUGUCAAAGGUCAGAUGAUUACAUUUGAUAUCAAAGUGAGACAAUGGAUAGAAGCAUGUAAAAUUUGAUACAGCUGAUAUCGCUGGAUUAUGUAAAAGGACAUUUUGAAACCAAGAGCAUGUUUGUUACGCACCAUUAGAUAGUAUUGCAGAAC